rnacentral:rRNA from 1 species
GAUAAACGCUGGCGGUGUGCUUAACACAUGCAAGUCGAACGGAAAGGCCCAAGCUUGCUUGGGUACUCGAGUGGCGAACGGGUGAGUAACACGUGGGUGAUCUGCCCUGCACUUCGGGAUAAGCCUGGGAAACUGGGUCUAAUACCGGAUAGGACGAUGGUUUGGAUGCCAUUGUGGAAAGUUUUUUCGGUGUGGGAUGAGCUCGCGGCCUAUCAGCUUGUUGGUGGGGUAAUGGCCUACCAAGGCGUCGACGGGUAGCCGGCCUGAGAGGGUGUACGGCCACAUUGGGACUGAGAUACGGCCCAGACUCCUACGGGAGGCAGCAGUGGGGAAUAUUGCACAAUGGGCGCAAGCCUGAUGCAGCGACGCCGCGUGGGGGAUGACGGCCUUCGGGUUGUAAACUCCUUUCGCUAGGGACGAAGCGUUUUUGUGACGGUACCUGGAGAAGAAGCACCGGCUAACUACGUG